rnacentral:rRNA from 1 species
AUUUGAGUCCACAGAGCAAACCGGGGGAACUGAAACAUCUAAGUACCCCGAGGAGAAGAAAUCAACCGAGAUUCCGGUAGUAGCGGCGAGCGAACCUGGAUUAGCCCUUAAGCACUCGGUGAAGUAGGUGAACAAGCUGGAAAGCUUGGCGAUACAGGGUGAUAGCCCCGUAACCGACGCUUCAUCGAGCGUGAAAUCGAGUAGGGCGGGACACGUGAUAUCCUGUCUGAAUAUGGGGGGACCAUCCUCCAAGGCUAAAUACUCCUGACUGACCGAUAGUGAACCAGUACCGUGAGGGAAAGGCGAAAAGAACCCCUGUGAGGGGAGUGAAAUAGAACCUGAAACCGUGUACGUACAAGCAGUAGGAGCACCUUCGUGGUGUGACUGCGUACCUUUUGUAUAAUGGGUCAGCGACUUAUAUUCAGUGGCAAGGUUAACCGUAUAGGGGAGCCGUAGCGAAAGCGAGUCUUAACUGGGCGUUCAGUCUCUGGAUAUAGACCCGAAACCGGGUGAUCUAGCCAUGGGCAGGUUGAAGGUUGAGUAACAUCAACUGGAGGACCGAACCGACUAAUGUUGAAAAAUUAGCGGAUGACUUGUGGCUAGGGGUGAAAGGCCAAUCAAACUCGGAGAUAGCUGGUUCUCCCCGAAAGCUAUUUAGGUAGCGCCUCGGACGAAUACUACUGGGGGUAGAGCACUGUUAAGGCUAGGGGGUCAUCCCGACUUACCAACCCUUUGCAAACUCCGAAUACCAGUAAGUACUAUCCGGGAGACACACGGCGGGUGCUAACGUCCGUCGUGGAGAGGGAAACAACCCAGACCGCCAGCUAAGGUCCCAAAGUAUUGCUAAGUGGGAAACGAUGUGGGAAGGCUCAGACAGCUAGGAUGUUGGCUUAGAAGCAGCCAUCAUUUAAAGAAAGCGUAAUAGCUCACUAGUCGAGUCGGCCUGCGCGGAAGAUGUAACGGGGCUAAGCAAUACACCGAAGCUGCGGCAAUGUCUUUUAGACAUUGGGUAGGGGAGCGUUCUGUAAGCCGUUGAAGGUGAAUCGUAAGGUUUGCUGGAGGUAUCAGAAGUGCGAAUGCUGACAUGAGUAACGACAAAGGGGGUGAAAAACCUCCUCGCCGGAAGACCAAGGGUUCCUGUCCAACGUUAAUCGGGGCAGGGUGAGUCGACCCCUAAGGUGAGGCCGAAAGGCGUAAUCGAUGGGAAACGGGUUAAUAUUCCCGUACUUCUGACUAUUGCGAUGGGGGGACGGAGAAGGCUAGGUGGGCCAGGCGACGGUUGUCCUGGUUCAAGUGCGUAGGCUUGAGAGUUAGGUAAAUCCGGCUCUCUCUAAGGCUGAGACACGACGUCGAGCUGCUACGGCAGUGAAGUCAUUGAUGCCAUGCUUCCAGGAAAAGCCUCUAAGCUUCAGAUAGUCAGGAAUCGUACCCCAAACCGACACAGGUGGUCGGGUAGAGAAUACCAAGGCGCUUGAGAGAACUCGGGUGAAGGAACUAGGCAAAAUGGUACCGUAACUUCGGGAGAAGGUACGCUCUUGAUGGUGAAGUCCCUCGCGGAUGGAGCUGACGAGAGUCGCAGAUACCAGGUGGCUGCAACUGUUUAUUAAAAACACAGCACUGUGCAAAAUCGCAAGAUGACGUAUACGGUGUGACGCCUGCCCGGUGCCGGAAGGUUAAUUGAUGGGGUUAGCGCAAGCGAAGCUCUUGAUCGAAGCCCCGGUAAACGGCGGCCGUAACUAUAACGGUCCUAAGGUAGCGAAAUUCCUUGUCGGGUAAGUUCCGACCUGCACGAAUGGCGUAAUGAUGGCCACGCUGUCUCCACCCGAGACUCAGUGAAAUUGAAAUCGCUGUGAAGAUGCAGUGUACCCGCGGCUAGACGGAAAGACCCCGUGAACCUUUACUACAGCUUGGCACUGAACAUUGAACCUACAUGUGUAGGAUAGGUGGGAGGCUAUGAAGACGUGACGCCAGUUGCGUUGGAGCCGUCCUUGAAAUACCACCCUUGUAUGUUUGAUGUUCUAACUUAGACCCAUUAUCUGGGUUGAGGACAGUGCCUGGUGGGUAGUUUGACUGGGGCGGUCUCCUCCCAAAGAGUAACGGAGGAGCACGAAGGUGGGCUAAUCACGGUUGGACAUCGUGAGGUUAGUGCAAUGGCAUAAGCCCGCUUAACUGCGAGAAUGACGGUUCGAGCAGGUGCGAAAGCAGGUCAUAGUGAUCCGGUGGUUCUGUAUGGAAGGGCCAUCGCUCAACGGAUAAAAGGUACUCCGGGGAUAACAGGCUGAUACCGCCCAAGAGUUCAUAUCGACGGCGGUGUUUGGCACCUCGAUGUCGGCUCAUCACAUCCUGGGGCUGAAGUCGGUCCCAAGGGUAUGGCUGUUCGCCAUUUAAAGUGGUACGCGAGCUGGGUUUAGAACGUCGUGAGACAGUUCGGUCCCUAUCUGCCGUGGGCGUUGGAAGAUUGAAGGGGGCUGCUCCUAGUACGAGAGGACCGGAGUGGACGAACCUCUGGUGUUCGGGUUGUGUCGCCAGACGCAUUGCCCGGUAGCUAAGUUCGGAAUUGAUAAGCGCUGAAAGCAUCUAAGCGCGAAGCGAGCCCUGAGAUGAGUCUUCCC